rnacentral:rRNA from 1 species
CCUACGGGAGGCAGCAGUGGGGAAUAUUGCACAAUGGGCGAAAGCCUGAUGCAGCGACGCCGCGUGAGGGUGACGGCCUUCGGGUUGUAAACCUCUUUCAGCAGGGACGAAGCGCAAGUGACGGUACCUGCAGAAGAAGCACCGGCUAACUACGUGCCAGCAGCCGCGGUAAUACGUAGGGUGCAAGCGUUGUCCGGAAUUACUGGGCGUAAAGAGUUCGUAGGCGGUUUGUCGCGUCGUUUGUGAAAACCAGCAGCUCAACUGCUGGCUUGCAGGCGAUACGGGCAGACUUGAGUACUGCAGGGGAGACUGGAAUUCCUGGUGUAGCGGUGAAAUGCGCAGAUAUCAGGAGGAACACCGGUGGCGAAGGCGGGUCUCUGGGCAGUAACUGACGCUGAGGAACGAAAGCGUGGGUAGCGAACAGGAUUAGAUACCCUGGUAGA